rnacentral:lncRNA from 10 species
CAGGAAUUGCUCACUCAGGGAGCUCAGCUCUUGAGACAGAAGUCUUGCUCAAUGCUCCUGGCUGAAUAAACCAUUUCCUUCUUUAACUCAGUGUCUGAGGAGUUUUGUCUGCGGCUCGUCCUGCUACAUUUCUUGGUUCCCUGACCGGGAAGCGAGGUGAUUGGCAGAUGGUCGAGGCAGCUCCUUAGGCGGCUAAAGCCUGCCCUGUGGAACAUCCCUGCAGGGGACUCUGACCAGCCUGAGCGACGUGGAUCCUGAGAGCGCUUCUGGGUAGGCAUUUGCCCCAGUGGGAUGCCUCACCAGAGCAGUGUGUGGAAGGCCCCCAUGGAGUCUCAACACGGUGGCUGAACACCGGGAAGGAACUGGUAUUUGGAGUCCGGACAUCUGAAACUUGGAGAUGAACAAGCCAUGUGGGUGCCCUCAAGAUGUUUGCAACCAUGGAGACUGGAGGGACCCAUGGAUUCCAAAUAUAGGCCUUGUUACCCCAGUACGAGCCAUGAGCCAGUUGAAUCUGAAUGUGAAGACAGAACGAGGACAGACUGGAGUCAUGUUGACAUCAACCCCCAUAACAUGGGGACAGAUCAAGAAAACCACACAGGAAGCUGAGCAACUGCUGGAAUGCCAGGGUUUCACCUUUUGCUGGAACUCAUAUAAUCAAUGCUUAAGAGACCAAUGCUUUCUGAGUUCCUCUCUACCCUGAAUACAAGAGACAUUAAUAGCUAUGUGGAAAUAUCAUCACCCCUAUUCAGCAUGAAGAAGUUGCAGUAGACAGACCUUCAUCCUUCUGCAACCCUUAGGAUUAAGGAUCUUGUUGUAAAAGGGAAAGGGGAAAUAUGUAAGAAGCAUUCAAACCAGAGUGACACCAUUUUGAAUAAGGGCUAAGAAAAAUGAAGCUGGAUCACAAACUGGCAAUUAAGGGCUGCACAGUCUGCAAUUGCCUUGCCCAAUUAAUUUAAAAACAAAGGAGAUGUUGGAGGCUACACAAAUGUUUCUUAUGAUUAGGCAUAAUUAAAGCCUGUCAGUAAUAAUAUGAACCUGUGAUCAAUUAAGCAACUGACCAAUUGUUACCUCCUCCUGCUGGUUCAUUCUACCCAAUAAAUACAAAGGGCAAUAGAAGCUUAUGGGCUGCCUUUGCUCUCUAGAAGCAGGGAGCUCUCUUCUCCCCAUGUUACCUUUCCCUUAAAACAGUUUUUUUUUCCUUGGUUUUCAUUUCUACAUUUGUCCAUUCAUUCAGUCGUAAUGAUGGUCUCAAGUGGUAACAGUAGUAACUUCUGUAAUUACGGUCUUAAGCAGUAACAGUAGUAGCUGCUGUAAUGACAGUCUCAAGUAGUAACUGUGGUAGUCAGCCAGAGCUAAUUAUACUCAUGAUUGUCUUACAUUAUUUGCUAAUUCUAGGAUGCAAAGCCAGAAUAAGAGCAAUGACCACCAUGCCUGACAAACCUGUUACUGCAUACAUCUGUGCUCUCCAAUCAAUAAGGCCGAUGCGGAAAGCAGAAAAGGGGGAGAUGGAGGUGUUCAGUCAGCAUGGUGGGAAAAAUUGUAAAAUAAACCUUCCUGGAAGGACAGAAGGUUUUUGCAAAAGCCUUAGGAUAGAGUUAUGGCUGAAGGCAGCCUAAUCCUCUUUGAGCUAUAGCAAGGGUCAGUGAGAGAGCAUAUGCCCUGGUAGAUUCCUGAGAAAAGGAACAGGAGGAUGAGAGGUUCAAUGUUUUACACAUUGCUGGUCUGAUAGCUCAGCUUCAUUCACAGAGAAAGACACUGAAGGAAUUAAAUCAGCUUGUCCAGCAGCAAGCUUCAGAGCCAAAUAUAAGCACACCUCAUAAUUCAGAGACCUCGUGAUGGGUCCUCAGAAGACACACCCAGCAGCUGCCAAAUGAACAGCAGAUGACGGAAAGGGGCCCUUGGCCUGAUCUCUCAUGGGAGACAGUGACCUUUCCUGAGUUGAAGAUGGUGAAAUGCCAGAAGGAGCUGAUGAGGCUGUCCCACACACUGACACUGCUAUGAUAUCAUGAUUGAAUUUCACUUUUUUCUCCCACCAUAAUGUAAUUUCUGGGCAGUGAUUGGGGUGUUGAUUCAUAAACACCCCUUACUGUUCUGCAUUGGAUUAAUCAUGAUGUACUGUCUUUUUCUCACUAUUUACAAAGUACAGCACCAUGAGAAUCCCUGAAUUUUAGAAUAAGUUUCUCUCCACUGGAAUAUAACACAUAUUUUGGGUUCUUUGCCUGGACUGGUCAUUUCUUUCUUUUACUAAUUGUUGUGAAAGAAUGACAGAGAUGUACAACAUGGUUUUUGAAUGGAUGCUGAGUUUAACUCUCCCGCUUACCAGAGAUAAAGUUGGCCAUACACACACGUCUCUUAUAUAAGAGUUUAUUCAUUGGCAGACACUUUGAUGAUGACAUUGAGUUAGAUGAAAUACUGGUUCCAGUUUGUAGCACUUUAUGAAUUUUCAUGUAAAGUGAUCAUUCAAUUUAAGGUUUCUGCACACAUCUUACAAAGCAUAUCUGUUUAUCAGAGCUCAUUUACUUAAGAGGAUUAAAAUGAAAUCUCUCCUCAUGAGCCAAGGGUGAAAUAGCUAGUGUCCGCUCCUAAAUAUGUGAACUAAUAUGUUUUUCCAUGGGCAAGCAAGAUUUUGUUUUUCUCCUAUUUUUCUUCUUCAGAAGGAAAUGAUUAAAAUAUUAAUAACACAAAAAUAAAUAUACAUUAUAAAACUCAAAAAAAUAAGGAUUUUUAUUGGAGUAAAGUUUUUAGUGGAGUAAAUUAUACAAUAUUAAAAAAGCAAUGGAAUUUAAAAGCAUGCCAUUUUUAAGUUUCCCUUUAUUAAUACAUUAGCAUACACAAAAUCUCAAUUAAAAAUUGCUUUAAAAGAUACUAAGUGCCAUUCAACUCUUAUUCUUUUAUCAUCUUCAAAAUAGCUGUUUAAAUCUAUAUUUAUACAAAAUAGCUGUUUAAAAAAUAUCUUUUUUUAAUUUUUUUCAUUUUUUU